rnacentral:lncRNA from 1 species
ACAAAAAAAAAAAAAAAAAAAAAAAAAAAAAAAAAAAAAAAAAAAAAAAAAAAAAAAAAAAAAAAAAAAAAAAAAAGAAAAGUACAUAAUGAAAAAGGUUGGCUAGGACGUGCCCCUGCAUGUUAUUUGUCUUCCAGUUGUGGUGGCCUAACCUUAAGAGUCGGGGUGAUCUGGUUGGGCCAAGCGACCCGACCUAUUCUCAGCCCGAGACUUGGAAUGUAGCCUGUACAGGGGUUUGAUUAUUUGUUG